UCCCUGAUAGCUUAGCUGGUAAAGAAUCUGCCUGCAAUGUGGGAGACCCAGGUUCGAUCCCUGGGUUGGGAA
rnacentral:tRNA from 1 species